rnacentral:rRNA from 1 species
UACGUAGGGGGCAAGCGUUGUCCGGAUUUAUUGGGCGUAAAGAGCGUGUAGGCGGCCAGACAGGUCAGCUGUGAAAACUCGAGGCUCAACCUCGAGACGUCGGUUGAAACCGUCUGGCUAGAGUCCGGAAGAGGAGAGUGGAAUUCCCGGUGUAGCGGUGAAAUGCGCAGAUAUCGGGAAGAACACCCGUGGCGAAGGCGGCUCUCUGGCCCCGAUACUGACGCUGAGGCACGAAGGUCAGGGGAGCAAACGGGG